rnacentral:lncRNA from 1 species
AGUUCACCGCGGGGUGCUGGGCCCCCCACAGGCGAGUCUGUGUGACGGGGCUGCGUUCUUGAAGCGUCCGUCCGCACCACGGCCUGGAGUCUAGGGAGCCGUCAGCGCACUGGACCGGGACAGAAGCUAGGGAUCAUACGAGGCGCCCUUCUGGUUUCCUUGGAGAAUCGCAUGCCAAGUGGAGAGGCUCAAGGGCAGAACUAAAGGGACAAAAGCUGGCCCAGUCAGCCCCAGGCCAUCAGGACUUCCUACGUGUUCAGCUGCUUGUGACUGAGAGCCCGGAGACUGCGGAGGUCUCAGGGUGGGCGGGGCCCCAGUGACAGCAAGUGCCCAGUAUCUUAACGCAGGCUUCAAACUCACCAGUCUCCUAGGGCACCUUAAAGGGUAGGGCAGGGAGAGAGGCCACUUGGCCCACUCAGGCCAGGUCUCCGGGCUGCAGGUCCUCCUGAUCAGGGUUGAUGAGUGGAUGAGAGGAGCCGGGUGAGCCCAUAAUGGACACGUCUCCAUUUGAGUACCCCAAGAUAGGCUCCUGUGAGAGCCAGGCAGUGACGACCUGGAGCAGGCCCUGGCACGGGCCCUCCAAAGGGGAAGUAAUCUCUGCCUAGUUCCCAGCUGCCCCAUCCAGCCCUUUCAGGUUCCAAAGGGUUACAACUCUGGCCCUGAUUUUUGGAGACCCUGCCUUGACAUUGUACCUGUGAAUGGCCCUCCUGGAAGUCGGCCACUUUGAGGAAGAGAAUUCUUCCUGCACCAGGCAGAAUUCCCUCCAGCAGUCUGUUACACAAGAGGCCCGCAUGGAGACUACUGACAGCCAUUCCCCAGCCUGCGUUGCUCAAGCAGGUUCUGUGGCGCCACAGGAUGAGUGGGUGACGUAUCAGAGUCGGCAGAUGGAGUGCACCUUGGUUUAGCAGAGCAGCUGCUGGAGGGGCUUUUUGAGGAAUGUAGCCCCAUCGGGCCAGGUUCGUUUCACUGAGCCCUGGGUCUGAGGGCGAAGCCCUGCUGUGGACCUUCUGAUGAACAUAAAUGCAUCCUGACCACAACCAGCCAAGAGCCCUCCCUGGAUCCUGCCAGCUCUGUGGUCCCUGAUGAAGAUGUAGCUCUCAGCCCUGAUGAUGCAGCUCCCGUGCCCUGCCUGCCUGCCUGCCGCUCAACUCCCUAUCAUACUGUUCAUAGACUUACCCUCUGAAACUACAGCCAAUCCUCCAAUUAAAUGUUUUCUUCUUUAA